CCUGCCAAGCUCAGGGCUAGGUAAGGCUCUCGCUGCCCUACCUGAGAGGUGUGACUGCUGCUCUGCUAUCAGUGAGCUAAGAGCUCCAGCAUAAGGAGAGAGUGCACUUCCCACCUUCAGCUGGACUCUAGCUGCAACUGAGAGAAACAGAAAUUAAUAUUGCUCCUAAAUGUGGAUCUAGACUGGAGAGAUGCCAGACUAACAGGUUGAAGUUGCAUGUCUUAUACUUGGGUUUGUGUAUGGAGCAAAGGGUGGAAGAAGAAUUAAACAGUUCUGAGUUGAGAAAAUAAAAAAAUCCCAGGUCUUCAAAAGGAAAAGUUUCUUCACAUGCAGAAAUAAACACCAGUGAGAAGAAUAGUGAACUUGGUACUUCCAUCUGAAUCAGUAAUAAAGAUGCCCUAAGAAAGGAAGAUUUGAAGAAAAUCUAAGAAAAGAGGGAAAAUCUUGGACAAGCCCUGGAUUCUGUGGGUUGAGACUCUGAGAUCCUUGCUAGAUGGUGUAGGAUGAAUGGUCUCUGGGAACUUCUUCAUUCAGCCCCAGUGGCAUGGGUUUCUUGUGUGUUUCUUGAUUUCAGAAUGCAAAAACCCACAGCUGGUCAGAAAACAAAAUUCUUUUGGGAAAGCCACACCUACAGGUAGAAAAUUUGUUUGGAAUUAUGAAGGAUUUUGAGUGCAAAACCACCCCCAGUAGUUUUUCCUGGUGAGUAUACUUCUGAUGCAACACAAAAAUAAACCAUGUUAUUCAUUAUUUGCCACGGCAGUAAUAGGGACUAUGAUCCUAGGACUUGAUGAUGUUGCACCUGUAAAUACAAUUUAUACAAUUUAUAUCUAUUGUCACCAUCUCUUCUUCUUGUGCUCCCUCUACUUCUCAAAAUUUCAUCUUAGCAGAUCUCAUGUCUGAGUUCAUCAUGUUAUGAACAAUGUCCGGUUUACUUUUACUAUUUGAACGUGAAAUUGUUAAGGCCAUGUAUAUUGUUCACAAAAAAUGACUGCACAACCUUGAGUGUUUUCUGAAAAAAGCUGGGAGAAAAAAAAGAAAAAAAAAUUGAACAGAUUUCCUGUUAAAUUGCCUUGUUUCACAAUUAACAUUGUUUCAUUUUUCCCUCCAUAAUUGUGUUUCAUAUUCUAAAGAAACAGCUAAUGACUAAUACUAAAAUGGCUAAUAAAUAAUUGA